UACGAAGGGGGCUAGCGUUGUUCGGAAUCACUGGGCGUAAAGCGCACGUAGGCGGAUGUGUCAGUCAGGGGUGAAAUCCCGGAGCUCAACUUCGGAACUGCCUUUGAUACUCCCGCGCUAGAGAGCUGGAGGGGACAUCGGAAUUCACGGUGGAGCAGUGAAAUGCGUGGAUAUCGUGAGGAACACUAGUGGCGAAGGCGGAUGUCUGGACAGUAUCUGACGCUGAGGCACGAAGGCCAGGGGAGCGAACGGG
rnacentral:rRNA from 1 species